rnacentral:tRNA from 1 species
GGUGCGGUGGUGAAGUAGCUAACACUGCGGUCUGCAAAACCGCCAUUCGCGGGUGCAAAUCCCGCCCGCACCUCCA